GUCAACAACCCCCCACUUAGGCUAACGCCUUGAAGUGUGGGCUUUUAAAGUCCUAGUUGACUAGACUAAGCACCUUGGGUGCUACGUUAUAUAGGUUAUGAUACCCUCGGAUGAUGCCCUAGUCCGUUGCUCUAUCGAAUAUGUGUAAACAGCUCUAAUGGGUAGGAGCAGUCAUAUGUUCACAAAAAGCCUAUAUAACUUUGUCGAAGGGCAAUCAAC
rfam:Clostridium caminithermale DSM 15212 genome assembly, contig: EJ27DRAFT_scaffold00114.114